rnacentral:rRNA from 1 species
CCUACGGGAGGCAGCAGUAGGGAAUUUUGCUCAAUGGGGGAAACCCUGACGCAGCAACACCGCGUGAAUGUUAAGCCCUCUGGGGGUUAAAGUUCUGUCAAUAGGGACGAAUUUUGACUGUACCUAUAAAGUUAUCACUGGCUAACUCCGUUCCAGCAGCCGCAGUAAGACGGCGUGUGCAAGCGUUAUCCGGAAUCAUUGGGCGUAAAGCGUUCGUAGUCGGUAUGUCAAGUCUGCUGUUAAAGCCCGGGGAUCAACUCCGAUUCGGCAUUGGAUACUGGCAAACUAGAAUGUGGUAGAGGUAAAGGGAAUUCCUGGUGUAGCGGUGAAAUGCGUAGAUAUCAGGAAGAACAUCGAUGGUGAAAGCGCUUUACUGGACCAUUAUUGACGCUGAGGAACGAAAGCGAGGGGAGCAAAUAGGAUUAGAUACCCCAGUAGUC